GGUUAAGCGACUAAGCGUACACGGUGGAUGCCCUGGCAGUCAGAGGCGAUGAAGGGCGUGCUAAUCUGCGAUAAGCGCCGGUAAGGUGAUAUGAGCCGUUAUAACCGGCGAUACCCGAAUGGGGAAACCCAGUGUGACUCGUCACACUAUCAUUAACUGAAUCCAUAGGUUAAUGAGGCGAACCGGGGGAACUGAAACAUCUAAGUACCCCGAGGAAAAGAAAUCAACCGAGAUUCCCCCAGUAGCGGCGAGCGAACGGGGAGGAGCCCAGAGCCUGAAUCAGCAUGUGUGUUAGUGGAAGCGUCUGGAAAGGCGCGCGAUACAGGGUGACAGCCCCGUACACAAAAGCGCAUGUGCUGUGAGCUCGAUGAGUAGGGCGGGACACGUGGUAUCCUGUCUGAAUAUGGGGGGACCAUCCUCCAAGGCUAAAUACUCCUGACUGACCGAUAGUGAACCAGUACCGUGAGGGAAAGGCGAAAAGAACCCCGGCGAGGGGAGUGAAAAAGAACCUGAAACCGUGUACGUACAAGCAGUGGGAGCA
rnacentral:rRNA from 1 species